GCAGUCGCCGCGGUAAUACGGAGGGUGCGAGCGUUAAUCGGAAUUACUGGGCGUAAAGAGUGCGUAGGUGGUUAAUUAAGUUAUCUGUGAAAUUCCUGGGCUUAACCUGGGCAGGUCAGAUAAUACUGGUUAACUCGAGUAUGGGAGAGGGUAGUGGAAUUUCCGGUGUAGCGGUGAAAUGCGUAGAGAUCGGAAGGAACACCAGUGGCGAAGGCGGCUACCUGGCCUAAUACUGACACUGAGGCUCGAAAGCGUGGGGAGCAAACAGGAUUAGAUACCCGCGUAGUCCCUGUCUCUUAUAC
rnacentral:rRNA from 1 species